UACGGAGGGGGCUAGCGUUGUUCGGAAUUACUGGGCGUAAAGCGCGCGUAGGCGGCUUUGUAAGUUAGAGGUGAAAGCCCGGAGCUCAACUCCGGAACUGCCAUUGAAACUGUUUAGCUUGAGGACGAGAGAGGUGAGUGGAAUUCCCAGUGUAGAGGUGAAAUGCGCAGAUAUCAGGAGGAACACCAAUUGCGAAGGCAGCUCGCUACACAUAUAUUGACUCUGAGGCACGAAAGCGUGGGGAUCAAACAGG
rnacentral:rRNA from 1 species